rnacentral:rRNA from 1 species
GACGGAAGGUGCAAGCGUUGUUCGGAUUCAUUGGGCGUAAAGGGUGCGUAGGCGGCGCGGUAAGUCGGGUGUGAAAUCUCGGGGCUUAACUCCGAAACUGCAUUCGAUACUGCCGUGCUUGAGGACUGGAGAGGAGACUGGAAUUUACGGUGUAGCGGUGAAAUGCGUAGAUAUCGUAAGGAAGACCAGUGGCGAAGGCGGGUCUCUGGACAGUUCCUGACGCUGAGGCACGAAGGUCAGGGGAGCAAACGGG